rnacentral:rRNA from 1 species
GAUGAACGCUGGCGGCGUGCCUAAUACAUGCAAGUCGAGCGAAUGGAUUAAGAGCUUGCUCUUAUGAAGUUAGCGGCGGACGGGUGAGUAACACGUGGGUGACCUGCCCAUAAGACUGGGAUAACUCCGGGAAACCGGGGCUAAUACCGGAUAACAUUUUGAACCGCAUGGUUCGAAAUUGAAAGGCGGCUUCGGCUGUCACUUAUGGAUGGACCCGCGUCGCAUUAGCUAGUUGGUGAGGUAACGGCUCACCAAGGCAACGAUGCGUAGCCGACCUGAGAGGGUGAUCGGCCACACUGGGACUGAGACACGGCCCAGACUCCUACGGGAGGCAGCAGUAGGGAAUCUUCCGAAAUGGACGAAAGUCUGACGGAGCAACGCCGCGUGAGUGAUGAAGGCUUUCGGGUCGUAAAACUCUGUUGUUAGGGAAGAACAAGUGCUAGUUGAAUAAGCUGGCACCUUGACGGUACCUAACCAGAAAGCCACGGCUAACUACGUGCCAGCAGCCGCCGUAA